AUACAUACAUACAUAUAAUUAUCACCAGCUGUAUAUGAAAAUCAAAAGAUUUUGCAAAACUAAAUAUUUUCUUCUGUUCCAAGAGUAACACAUUUUACUAGCAUAUUUGCAUGUGAGAACAUGUUAUAAUAACUUGGCAGUGAUACCUCUAAAGAUGUUUUAAAAAAAUCAAAUGUCUUCUUUUGCCCAGUAGUGGCAUAAGCAGAAUUGCUUAUACUAGAAGAUUGCUGAAUUUCCAUUGAAUGUGAGAUACAUAGAACAUAAAUUAAUUAUGUGUCAAUUUCUGCAGACAUGCAAGUAAGAUGACAUGGCUCCCUGGAAUUUACAUGUAAAGUGUUCAGUUAAUUUAGAGCCAUUUGGAGACUUAAAAGUUUUUGCCAGACUCAUUCCUAUCUGUUUAAACCGUCUAAAACUCGUCCGCAUGACAUUUUUCUAUAUGGUGUCCUGGAAAUUAACAUGAUUGCAUGCCUGAACGAUCAUUUUUAAAAGAAAGUGAUUUUUCCAGUAGGAGGAGAAGUUUCAUUUAGCAACCAUCUAUUUUAAUGGCUAGAAUGAUUUUUUUUAAAUCUAAAAUCUGCUUAGCCAGGUGGUGUAUUGAAAUGGUGCUCUUGUGUAUGUGAGAGAACAGUAAACAAACAUAUUGUAACUGUGAGAUGAAUACAAUUUGCAUUUAAAAUUAAAUAGAAAUCACUUUUUGCUGGAUGAUCUGAAUUAGAUAUGCCCACAUAAUCUGUUCUUGAAUUUUAAGAUGAAAUCAGAUCUAAAAUCAGUUUGCAGAUCAAAGCUCUGUUGUUUGAGUCCAAUCUCACUUUUUUAUUUUUAAUGUAUUCUUAAAUUUUUUUAGAAUAUUUGAAUUUCUGCUUAAAUUUUAUGUAUAUUCCCAAAGGCAUUAAAAAUACAAGAACAGCUGAGCCAGAAAACCAAAAAAUAGAAAAUGCUGGUUGUUGAUUACUCUGCCUCUAAUUGGGCUGCAGAGAGAAGUACUGCAGUCCAUGGCUUAUCAUAAAUAAUUAGUGUGUAAAUUAAAAAAAUAUGUGGAUAGAUCAAUUAUUGGAAUAGGAAAUGGACAGCAGGUCCUUGAAACCUUGUUAAGAUUUCAAAUGAAUGGCAAAGCAAAUACAUAGACAGUAGUAUCAUAGGUAUUUGGUCCAUUUGUACAUUGAAUGUUGGGACACACUCUCUUCCUUCCCCCCAACCCCGAAAUCUCUUUUAGGGUAAGCAAUUAAACAGUCUUCCCACAGCAUCUAAACUAUGAUUCCUGUAUUCCUGCCUCUUUUGUUUGGAGGUUAGGCUGGGAUAGAGGGAGAAAUGUCUGUGUGCUUGACUCCCUGUCUUUUCUUUUUCAAUUAGAAAUCUUCCUGUACAGUUGCUUCGUUUUGACAUGAGUGUGUAUAAUUUUGGAUGUCCAGUCAGUAGUAAUGUUCCAAAACUACACUUUGUGAGAACUGGCAUAUUUUCCAGGCUCUGAAAACAUUAUUCUUAAAUUUUGUAACUAGUUAUUAUAUUUACAGAGUAAAUAUUUACAGCUUUUGACACUUAUCAAAAGUAAACCUAAGGCCUAAUGAAUUUACAGAAUAAGAAGGAAAUUCUUGGUAUGCCAGAUUUUUUUAAAGGAGCAGGGUGAUGCAAAGAAGAUUCAUGGUACUUAAACUGCAUGUAAGUGCAAACCAGUGAUUAUGAAUCAGAGUUUUAUGUAUGUAUGGGUUAUUAAUUCUGCACUAAGAAAAAAUAUAUACAUAAAAUGCAAAAAUCCCCUUAGUCCAGCUGCCAGAAUUUGAUUUCUGUUUAUCUUUUAUGCAGGAUAAGGUUGCAUAAAAGUGACUCCAGAUAUUAAAAAUAAGUAUUUUGGGGAUAAAAGUGUAGCUCCUGUGUUUUAGCAUGUUCCCGUGAAACUGUGACUUACCCAUGAUGAAAGGUUCUUUGACUAGUCAGGAAAGUUUGAGAAAGUGAACUUCUGUAAGUGCAUGCACAAGCAAAGGGCAACCUUUAAGUGCAUAAGUUUCAGGUUGCACUGUUGAAUUCUUAGUUUUAAAAAAAAUCAAAUUAUUUGAUGAAGGUGAUUUCCUUACUUCCUUUGAUGUCCUUGAGAAUUGCUGUUAUUUGGAGCAGUAGAUAGCGUACAUCUAAGACAAAUGAAUCUGAACAGAUCCAAAUUUAUAUUGUCUUGAUUUGUCAGCUUACAUUUACCUUUAGAGCUCUUUUUUUAGUGCAAGAUUCAUACGAUAAGAAACAGGGUUUCUUUUUAUUUUUUGUUCAAAAAGAGCAAUGGUUUUCUGAAAUGGAGUGCCUUUUUGCUAAUGUCAAUCUUAGUACAGUUCCAUUGACUUUAAAUUACACUAAAACACUUUUUAAAUUGCUGGUAAAUGUCAUCUCAAAAUUCAGUUAGUUGGCUAUGUAUUUGUGGAUAUGAAUAUACUUCACAAAAAAAAAAAAACAGGCUGUAUUUGGAAUGAAGUAAUGGCUGCCUAGAUGACACUAACUUAAAGUACAAUCAUGGUAAUAGAGUCUUCACUAUUACCACCGGUAGCAAGAGUUGCUUGGCAAGUGGGGAACUAUAUAAUGGAAUGAAUGAAUGAAUCAUCGGUAUGAAUGAAUCAACACAUUAUGGUAUCAAAAAUUAUGUUUCAAGCUUUAUGUAAUUUUCUUCCACAUAAUAUUUCAGUAAGCUGGAUUCUUAAAAAUAUUUUUGUUUAGUCAGUUUAUUUUGAUAACGCAAAAGCUUCUGGCAUGGUAAAUUUUUAACCUAUUUAUUAAUUAAACUUCUGAAAUAUUUUACAGUAUAACUAUAAACUCUUGUCACACACCAAAAAUUGACCGAGUAGUAAGAUUCUGCAAGAUGUAGAAAAGUAUACAUAUGGAACAAAUACUUUGCAUGUAGCCUGAGAGAUUAAAUCUCUGCAAUCUCCCUGUGAUAAAUUGACUGGGCAAUAAAUAAAGAGGAAAAAAAAGGCGGGGCGGGGGGGGAGAGAGAUGUUGUCUGACAUCAGAUGUGAAUGACUUCUGCCUUAAUGAGGGAGAUGGCAUGAAUUAGAUGUAAAAAAAAAAACACCUCACCUUGAACUGGAUAGCUAAUGGAUUGACUUGACAAGGCUUUUUCAAUCAUUCCUAUGGCUUUUGCAAGCUAAGUACCAAAACGCUAAUUCCACAGUCACUGAAAAGCAGCCCCCACUCCAACUCCAAUACCAGUUUCAAGCAUAUUUUUUGCAACCAUAAGAACUAGAACAUUUUCUUUAAAAAAAAAACAAAACCAAGAUGUUGGGAUUCCCAGGAAGCAUUUUGCACUUUCCCCAAUCCCUAUAGAAUUCUAACAUGCAGCCAUGAAGAUGAUUUGGUGUUUGGAUCACCCCAAUCUAACUCUUCCUAAAGCUUUAAAAAUCUUCAGUAGAAAUGCAGAGAGUAAUUGAUCGUGGCUUGUAUUUUUUGGUAGAGCUGAAUUUAUUGUAUUGCAAUCAUCAAUGUAAACUAUAUAUUGCAUUGCAUUUUUUUAAAACAUCCUACCUCAUAUCAUGCUUUUUUUUCUUUUUUAAAAAAAGGUAUGCUUAUUUUUAAAAUCAGCAUACAGUAAUUCCUUUUCAAAAUGCAGAAAGCCAGCAGUGCAAAGAGAUGAUCUUUAUCUUAGGCAACUGAGAAUGACCCCUUGAAGCAAAGCAAGGCUGUUCAAUAUUCUGCAUUUAGUACAAGAACACUGCUGUUUUCCCCCAAUUCUAAAUCCUCCAGAUAUGUUGGAUUACAACCCCCACAAUCCAGUCUCCAUGAACUUCGUCUAAUCACUGCUUUAAUUACUUCUAGAUGUUGAUUUAGUGCUUCAAAACUUUAAUAAAAUUAUAUACUAUACUGAACUUAAUCUUAGUUUCAGAAAUGUCCCGUGAUUCACUGAUCUUUCUGUCUCGUAGUUAUCAUCCUUAAAUUAGAUAGUAUGGCCACGUGGCUUUUUAAAAUGAAACAUUUUUCAGUGGGCAUGUUUCGAGCUUAGUUAUUAUUUUGGCUUAAUGGAAAUUAACAUUUGACUUUGUAAAAUUCUAGGGGGAAAGUUGCCUGAUUAUAAAACUGCAACACUGAAAAUUAAUGUCCUUAUGCAUGUCUUUUCAAAGAUCUCCAGUAAACAUUAGCUAUAACAGUAACUGAUUUAUACAGUUUUUCCUCUUUACAUUUAUUUAUCAUUUAUUUCUGUAAACAUCUUUUACAUCUGUUUAUAAUUCUGGUAAUAUGUAUUAUGCCCAUAUAUGCUUUAAAUGAGUAGCUUAAUAUUUGUCCCAUUGUAUAUUAAAUUCUAGAAAGCAUGACAUAUCAGCCAAAGCAGAUACAUUGUAUUUAUUGUGUUUGAUACAUUGAUACAAAAACCUUACAAGAGUUUAUCAAAACACUACUGAUAUGUACAACUGUAAUUGUUGCUGAAUGUACACGGAGUGCAGUAAUAUACACCAGAUUUGAGAAUGGAUAAAUCUCAGUACUGUAUUUAUAGGGGUAAAAAAUGGUCUGCUAAAACAUUUCCACUUAGGUUGUGAAAAAGCUGGUCAUGUUUCAGUGACAUUGAAAUCAGACUAGAAUUUGUUGCACUGAUUUCAAAAGGAUAUAGAGCACACAUGAAAAUUGCCACUUAUUCCAAGUUCAAAAUUCACAUUGAAAUCAAUCAGUUAUGGUUGGCAAUAUCACUUGAAAGAUAGCUGGUCCAACAACAUUGACCUUCUGGUAUAAUAUACAAUGGUAAGAAAAUGUCAGGUGUUUGGGGAUUAAAAUGUUGGAAGCUCUAUAAUGCCUCUAAGGAACAGAGUACACACAUUCUUGUACAUGCCCCAGAGUUAAUUUCUUAGCAUGCAAUUUCAUGUGGAAAGUAUUCCUUGAGCAUGAAAGCAAGUGCUUUGACAUUGUAUACUAGCUAUAGAUGACCAGAAUUGGAAGCUGUUACAUAUUUUGCAUGUUUUUCUCUUAAAUAUUUUUAUAGGAUGUCUCUGAACAGCUGAAAACUUUCUUUUCGCCUUUUUUGUAAUGAAUGUCAGGGAUCCAAUUGGUUUUAUCUCUAAAGCAUGGGGAAGGUUGAAAUUCCAAAUAAACAUUAUGGAAUAAACUCUUGGAUGCUACUGAACAUAUUUCAUGGACAGGAUUUCAUUGCAAAAGUUAGCAGAUAAGAGAUUUGAUGAGUUCUCUAAAAAUAUAAUGAUUUAGCAUUUUAAAGAUAGCUUUGGGGAGUAUGAAUCUCAAAAUAUCAAUCACAUUUCUACUUAUAUGGAAAAUAGUUGCAUCACAAUCUACUAGUUUCCAGCUUCAAUCUAAAAAGGGAUUGGGUAUGGCUUCCACAUGUGUGAAUUUUACAUAGUGGUUUUUGGAAUUCCACAUGUCCAUGUAUCAGGCAGAGCUACCAAUUGAUAUUAAUUUGGGAGAACUUUCCUCCUUUUAAAGAUCAUUGUGGAAAACAGCUGAGUGAAAUUUAGAGACCACAAUGGAGAAUUAUUUCCCAAAUGU